CCCUGGCCAGCGCCCAGCACCCCGCACCCCGCACCCAGCACCCCGGGGCGCUCAGCGAGCAGGCAGGUGCAGUCACAGCAUGAGCCGCCCUGCCCAGGGCAUCCUCGGCCGCGCACCUGUAACGGAGAACUGUCCUAUGAGAAAAGCCGCUGAGUGAGGUCACGAUGGAGGACCCCGCAGAGUCCCCGCACUCAGGACAACGUGCGCAGCGCGAUUUGCUCCUGAAGCUGCCGGCAUGAGCUGCGCUAGUCCUUCCUGGCGGCCCUGCCGGAGCCGGAGGAUCAGGGCUUCCACCGGAGGAAAAGGGCCCCUCGAACGGCAGCGUGUUCGGUUCUAGCCAAAGACACGGGAGGCGCCGUGUUCGUGUUUCCCGGCUGAAAACCGUGUGCCUUUCCGUGAGGGCGCUCGGAUGGUCAACACGCGGUCCCUGGCCUGUGCCGUGUCAGGCGCGGCGGGCUCCCAAAAGGCCAGGAUUCCCUGGGGGACUCGGACCCACGUGGCCGAUGGACACCUCGGGCCUGUGUGCUGCGUGUGGGCGUCUCUGCUCCGCACAACAUGGUGGUGUGACUGCGAACCCGCCAGUGUGCACUUCUAGGAAGGAGAACGAAGUACAACAGUCAUCUCAAGAAGAAGAAUCCACAUUCAAAGUCCAGAAAGCAACAGGACAAAGUUACCGUCCGGAAAGUCAUCCAAACAGACCAAUGAGCCGAACCUGUGCUCCCUGGCGUUGCCGGACUCCGGGCAGCACCCGACCUGGACCCAUCGGGUUUCCUUCUGGCUCGCGGUACGAUCGGGUGUACUCAUGUUGUGCUCUAAUAUAGCAAUUUAAAACGAGAGAUUAAGAAAGAGGGGGGUGCCUGGGUGGCUCAGUGGGUUAAAGCCGCUGCC